CCCGGAGCUGCCCGAGCCGGACCGGGCCGGGCCGGGGCCGCCGCACAGCGCAGCGAGGAGCUCUCCCCGCUAAGUGCCAUUUGCGUUUGGCUGCCUCGCACCGCCCGUCUCUCUUCUCUUCUUUCCUUCCCCCCUUCCUCCCCCUUUUGUCUCUCUUCUAUUUCUCUUUUUGCCCUCUUUCCCCCAUUCUCCCCCCCCCCCCCCCUUUUUUUCCCUCCGCAUCCCAUCUCUCAUAGUUCUGGGUCCAGCAGCUCUCGCCGAUCCGAAGUUGUUUUGCUCCGACAAGCACCUAGAGGUUAAUUUCUUGAAGUGCCCCAUGAAAAGCGAUUAGCCUGGCUCCCGAGAAGUAUUUUCUAAUUACGUGCAAGCCCUCGCUCUGCUGCUACCCCAUAAUUAAACCUCUUCAAGGUGCUGCACUUCAAAUAUUUCGCUCCCGGGGCCGCUGCCAGGAGCCGAGAGCUCCGGCCCCCCGCACCCCCCACACCCCAAAACCCCAUCGCAGAGACACGCAACAAAUCACUGCGUCUCUCUCCCCCGGCAGUCACCACGCGCGGGGCAGCACCUCAGGGUUCCAGCACCGCUUUUUCUCGCCGGGCUGCGGGAGCUCCGCCAGCGGCUGCCCGGCGCGCAGGGCUUUAUCCUGGGGAGAAAAUCACUGCGGGGCACUGGGAGAGGCGCUUUAAGAACAGGGGUUGGGGCCGCCCGUUCCCGGUCCCCGUUCUCCUCGCAGUUCAACCCCGUAUAUUCUAACGGGGCUCACGUAGGGGUCACCCCUUUAAAGAAAUCCUUUUCUUCCCUUCCUGCUCCCCGUUUCCUCCCUCUGACAUCCGGUGUUGGGGGCUGAGGGCUGAGGGCUGAGGACAGGGCACAGCGCGCCGCCUCCCGUCCCCUCGGCCGCCCGAGGUCCCCACUGAAAUUCGGGGUGGGCGAAGCGACCGCAGCCCCCUCGGAACCCCGGCAGCUUUCCUGGGAGCGGCGGCGGCGGGCAGAGCCCGGCCUCUCGGCUGCCCUUCCCCUCCGCAGCCGGGUUUUCACCGUAUUAUCGACAAUUAAAAAUAGAUUUUUAUUAUUGUUGUUGUUGAAAAUCACCACAUCUGUCAGGUUGCUCCCGUGCCAGGCGCGAUGCGACACAUCCAGAGCGACUGGUGCUUCCGAGCAGGGCCGGGCCGGGUUGUCGGUGGCAUCUCCCCAGCAGCGUUACAGAGAUUUUCCCAUGGCCGCGGGUAAGGGCUCGGCUGCCGCUGACUCGCGGGACGCCGCCGGCUUUAUCCCAGCCGUUCCCCGGGGAGCGAACGAAUGAGGCCCGGUGGCAGCGUCCCGGCUCGGGAUGGGGCCGACGGGCACCGCCGCGAUUCCACCCACGGGCGGGGGACGGACCCCCCCGGGGCGGAGGAGCGGGAGGGGAGAGCCGGCCCCUUCCCCGCCCUGCCCCCUGCCCGGCCCCUGGCCUGGCCCGGCCCUGCCCUGUCCCUGCCCCGUCCCCGUCCUUGUUCCUGCCUCUGUCCCUGUCGCUGUCCCCGUCUCCGUCCCUAUCCCUUUCCCUGCCCAUACCCUGCCCCCGUCCCCCGUCCCUGUCCCUGUUCCUGUCCUUGCCCCUGCCAGGCAGUGCCCGUGGCACCUCUGUGCGCCUCCCUGCACCACUGUGCACCUCCUGGUCUCUCUUUGCUGGCGGCCGUGGAGGCCAACAUCGAAAAUAAGGAAAUAAUGAUAAUAAAAAGACUUUUUUUGGAAAACGUAGCUGAGAUCCACGAGGUAAACGCGAGCUUAGUGCCCGAUUGUAUGGUGUUCGCACGGGGAAAAGGAAAAGAUGGAAGGUAAAAGAAAGAACUGAAUAAGAAAUGAAAUAAAAUGAAAUAGAAGACAGAUAAUAGAAGAAAGGGGGAAAAAAGAAAACAGAAGGAAAGAAUAAAAAUAAAACAAAAUGAAACGAAGGAAAAAGAGUGAAAGAAGGUCAGGAAUGGAAAAGAACGAAAAGGAAAAAUGGAAAUGAAAAAGGAAAUGGAAAAAGGAAAAGGAAAAAUGGGAAAAGAAAAUGAAAAAGUACGAAAUUAAAAGAAAGGAAAGGAAAGGAAAGGAAAGGAAAGGAAAGGAAAGGAAAGGAAAGGAAAGGAAAGGAAAGGAAAGGAAAGGAAAGGAAAGGAAAGGAAAGGAAAGGAAAGGAAAGGAUGGAAGAGAAGAGAAGAGAAGAGAAGAGAAGAGAAGAGAAGAGAAGAGAAGAGAAGAGAAGAGAAGAGAAGAGAAGAGAAGAGAGAAAUAAAGGAAAAGGAAAAGAAGGAAUAAUGAAGGAAAAGAGAAGAAAAAUAAAACAAGAAAAGAAAAGAAAAGAAAAGAAAAAGAGGAAAGAGAGAGAAAGGAAAAUGAAAUAAAAGAAUAAGAGGAAAGGGAAAAGAAACGGAAAAAAAAAAAAAAAAGAAAAGAAAAGAAAAGAGAAGGCCAACGAUUUCUCAGGGCGGAGGCAGAGCAGCCCGGCCCGCUGCCCGCUGCCCGCUCCGGCGGAGCGCUGAGCACUCGCUUGCUUCAAGCGUGACCCGGGCGCGGCUGUGGGUGGCCCUGGGUGGCACCAGGUGGGACCGGGUGGCGCUGGGCUGCAUUUCCCUGCCCGGGUGCCCGCUCUUUGUUCAACCGAGGCUGCACCUCACGAACCCACCGACCCGAGGGGCAGCCAGGGCCGAUCCAGCAGCCUUUUCCCGGCAUCGUGGGAAAGUUUCUUGGUUCGAGGAAAUAAAUAAAGCGUGCCUCCUCCCAAAAAAGAAACAAAAUCAUCCUAAAAAAAGAAAAGGAAGUUAGUAAACGCAAUAAAGCUCGCAGCGAAACUUCUGCCCCUGUCUUCGAGUCGCAGAAGCGUUGCGAAUAACUUUGCGAAGAGGGACGAACGAGAACGGUUCCCGAGCGCUGCGGGGUGGGAGCGUCCCCUGCAGCCCCCGACCCCCCACCCCCCCCCUCCCCGGCCCCUCCCGACGAGCAGCGACUCCUCUCCCCUCACCCCUCUUCCCUCUCCCAUCUCCCCUCGCCCACCCGCGGAGGCAGAGGAGAUUCGGAGUGGUGCAGCAAAAGAACCCUCGACGGCGUUUUUAUUGAAUUUUCCACGCAUCGCGUGUCCCUCUGCCCCACUCCCCCCUCGCACCGCAGACUCCCGUGGCCGUGGGGCUGUGUCGCUUCUCCGCUUUCCCCGUGCCUCGGAGGAGUUAAUCAGCGCAGACACAACAGCUCGUGUUAUGACGGCGGAGUUCGGCAACCCUACACCGAGCCGGGCUCGGCCGGGACCCGGGCUGCCCCACGAGGACUUGAAUUCCUCGGACUGCCCGAAUUUACACCUCGGCGUGGGCCCGGCAGCCAGAAAGCCACCGCGCUAAUGAACCGGGUGCUGCCCCAGCUCCACCCGGCAUCAGUUCUGCUGCCGUCUCGAAGGCGAUUUUCCAGCUGUUCCGAGAGCAUCGGCCUCCGUACGCUCGCACACAUACACACACGAUUCAUUUUUUUCGUGAUUUCCAAUGGGGGGAAAAAAAAAAAACACCAAAAAAAAGAAAAAAAAAAAAGGAGUUGUUGCAGGGAAUUCCCUUUAGGAAGGCAGAAUGCAGGCUGGGUGCGGGGGACGGUGGAGAAUGCUCGUCCUCUCUCUGCUCCGUGGAAAAGUUUCUCGGGAAGUCGGCCGGCCCCGAGUCCCGCACUGCCCGUCGGGCCUCUCCCCGCCCGCUGAUGGGGGCGGCGGGCAUCGACCCCCCCGGGAGCCCUCG
ensembl:lncRNA